rnacentral:rRNA from 1 species
AACGAACGCUGGCGGCAUGCCUAACACAUGCAAGUCGAACGAGACCUUCGGGUCUAGUGGCGCACGGGUGCGUAACGCGUGGGAAUCUACCCUCAGGUUCGGAAUAACUCAGAGAAAUUUGAGCUAAUACCGGAUGAUGACGUAAGUCCAAAGAUUUAUCGCCUGAGGAUGAGCCCGCGUAGGAUUAGGUAGUUGGUGAGGUAAAGGCUCACCACGCCGACGAUCCUUAGCUGGUCUGAGAGGAUGAUCAGCCACACUGGGACUGAGACACGGCCCAGACUCCUACGGGAGGCAGCAGUGGGGAAUAUUGGACAAUGGGCGAAAGGCUGAUCCAGCAAUGCCGCGUGAGUGAUGAAGGCCUUAGGGUUGUAAAGCUCUUUUACCCGGGAUGAUAAUGACAGUACCGGGAGAAUAAGCUCCGGCUAACUCCGUG